UAGGGAAUCUUCGGCAAUGGGGGCAACCCUGACCGAGCAACGCCGCGUGAGUGAAGAAGGUUUUCGGAUCGUAAAGCUCUGUUGUAAGAGAAGAACGAGUGUGAGAGUGGAAAGUUCACACUGUGACGGUAACUUACCAGAAAGGGACGGCUAACUACGUGCCAGCAGCCGCGGUAAUACGUAGGUCCCGAGCGUUAUCCGGAUUUAUUGGGCGUAAAGCGAGCGCAGGCGGUUAGAUAAGUCUGAAGUUAAAGGCUGUGGCUUAACCAUAGUACGCUUUGGAAACUGUUUAACUUGAGUGCAGAAGGGGAGAGUGGAAUUCCAUGUGUAGCGGUGAAAUGCGUAGAUAUAUGGAGGAACACCGGUGGCGAAAGCGGCUCUCUGGUCUGUAACUGACGCUGAGGCUCGAAAGCGUGGGGAGCAAACAGGAUUAGAUACCCUGGUAGUCCACGCCGUAAACGAUGAGUGCUAGGUGUUAGGCCCUUUCCGGGGCUUAGUGCCGCAGCUGACGCAUUAAGCACUCCGCCUGGGGAGUACGACCGCAAGGUUG
rnacentral:rRNA from 1 species